AUUGAACGCUGGCGGCAUGCCUUACACAUGCAAGUCGAACGGUAACGGGUCCUUCGGGAUGCCGACGAGUGGCGAACGGGUGAGUAAUAUAUCGGAACGUGCCCAGUAGUGGGGGAUAACUGCUCGAAAGAGCAGCUAAUACCGCAUACGACCUGAGGGUGAAAGGGGGGGAUCGCAAGACCUCUCGCUAUUGGAGCGGCCGAUAUCAGAUUAGCUAGUUGGUGGGGUAAAGGCCUACCAAGGCAACGAUCUGUAGUUGGUCUGAGAGGACGACCAGCCACACUGGGACUGAGACACGGCCCAGACUCCUACGGGAGGCAGCAGUGGGGAAUUUUGGACAAUGGGCGCAAGCCUGAUCCAGCAAUGCCGCGUGCAGGAAGAAGGCCUUCGGGUUGUAAACUGCUUUUGUCAGGGAAGAAAUCUUCUGGGCUAAUACCCCGGGAGGAUGACGGUACCUGAAGAAUAAGCACCGGCUAACUACGUGCCAGCAGCCGCGGUAAUACGUAGGGUGCGAGCGUUAAUCGGAAUUACUGGGCGUAAAGCGUGCGCAGGCGGCUUUGCAAGACAGAUGUGAAAUCCCCGGGCUCAACCUGGGAACUGCAUUUGUGACUGCAAGGCUAGAGUACGGCAGAGGGGGAUGGAAUUCCGCGUGUAGCAGUGAAAUGCGUAGAUAUGCGGAGGAACACCAAUGGCGAAGGCAAUCCCCUGGGCCUGUACUGACGCUCAUGCACGAAAGCGUGGGGAGCAAACAGGAUUAGAUACCCUGGUAGUCCACGCCCUAAACGAUGUCAACUGGUUGUUGGACGGCUUGCUGUUCAGUAACGAAGCUAACGCGUGAAGUUGACCGCCUGGGGAGUACGGCCGCAAGGUUGAAACUCAAAGGAACUGACGGGGACCCGCACAAGCGGUGGAUGAUGUGGUUUAAUUCGAUGCAACGCGAAAAACCUUACCUACCCUUGACAUGUCAAGAAUUCUGCAGAGAUGUGGAAGUGCUCGAAAGAGAACUUGAACACAGGUGCUGCAUGGCCGUCGUCAGCUCGUGUCGUGAGAUGUUGGGUUAAGUCCCGCAACGAGCGCAACCCUUGUCAUUAGUUGCUACGCAAGAGCACUCUAAUGAGACUGCCGGUGACAAACCGGAGGAAGGUGGGGAUGACGUCAGGUCCUCAUGGCCCUUAUGGGUAGGGCUACACACGUCAUACAAUGGCCGGUACAGAGGGCUGCCAACCCGCGAGGGGGAGCCAAUCCCAGAAAACCGGUCGUAGUCCGGAUCGUAGUCUGCAACUCGACUGCGUGAAGUCGGAAUCGCUAGUAAUCGCGGAUCAGCUUGCCGCGGUGAAUACGUUCCCGGGUCU
rnacentral:rRNA from 1 species